rnacentral:rRNA from 2 species
GNCCAGAGCUUGAUUCUGGCUUCAGAUUCAACGCUGUUGGCAGGCCUAACACCUUCAAGUCGAGCGGAUGAAGAGAGCUUGCUCUCUGAUUCAGCGGCAGGGCGUAUGAGUAAUGCCUAGGAAUGUGCAUGAUAGUGGGGGACAAUGUUGUGAACUGCACGCUAAUACCGCAUUCGUCAUACGGGAGAAAGCAGGAGACCUUCUGGCCUUGCGGAUCAGAUGGGACUAGUUCGGAUUAGCUAGUUGGUGAGGUAAUGGCUCCCCAAUGCGACGAUCAAUAGCUGGUCAGAGAGGAUGAUCAGUCACACUGGAAGUGAGACACGGUCCAGACUAAUUUGGGAGGCAGCAGUGAGGAAUAUUGGACAAUGGGCGAAAGCAUGAUCCAGACAUCCCGCGUGUGUGAGGAAGGUCUUCGGAUAAUAAAGCACUUUAAGUUGGGAGGAGGGGCAUUAACCUAAUACGUUAGUGUUUUGACGUUACCGACAGAAUAAGCACCGGCUAAAUUCGUGCCAGCAGCCGCGGUAAUAAGAAGGGGGCAAGCGUUAAUCGGAAAUACUGGGGGUAAAGCGCGCGUAGGUGGUUUGUUAAGUUGAAUGUGAAAGCCCCGGGCUCAACCUGGGAACUGCAUCCAAAACUGGCAAGCUAGAGUAUGGCAGAGGGUGGUGGAAUUUCCUGUGUAGCGGUGAAAUGCGUAGAUAUAGGAAGGAACACCAGUGGCGAAGGCGACCACCUGGGCUAAUACUGACACUGAGGUGCGAAAGCGUGGGGAGCAAACAGGAUUAGAUACCCUGGUAGUCCACGCCGUAAACGAUGUCGACUAGCCGUUGGGAUCCUUGAGAUCUUAGUGGCGCAGCUAACGCAUUAAGUCGACCGCNNNGAANUNNCUNUNGNANNNNG